ensembl:lncRNA
AUGGAAAAAAAUAGGAAUGAAAGAAAACAACUAGAUAAAGAUAAACAAGAGAUGGAAGAACAGAAACAGCAACUGAAGAAAGAAAGAGAUGAUGUUAACCAAAGCAGAAAAGAUCUGAAUGAAGACCUAAAGAUGAUGACACUUCAGAAACAAGUGAUUGAAGAUGAGAAGAACAAGUUAGAACAGAUGAAGACUGAGCUGCAAAGAGAAGCUGAUGAUAUCCGAAAGCUCAAAGAAGAAACACAAAAUGAGAGACAGAGUUUGGAAAAGAUGGCUGAAGAACUUCAGAAAGAGAGAGAAGAUAUUUUUCAUCUUGAUGAAGAUACAAAGAGAAAACAAGAGAUUCUGGAUGAAAUGAAAGCUGCAAAUGAGUCUUCAAUGGCAGAUCUACAAAGAGAGAAAAACAACCUUGAGCAAAUGAGACUGGACAUCUCUAAACAAACUGAUGAAAUUGAAAAUGAGAAAGAGAAAAUUAAACUCAGAGAAGAUGAACUAGAGCAAUUAAAAGCAGAGAUUCAUAAACAACAAAGUGAAGUGGAAAAGGAAAAGAACAACAUUGAAAGUGAAAGAGCUGCAAUGAUCAGGGAAAAACAGGACAUGAUGACUGAGCUGAGAAAAAAGUAUGAAGAUGUUGAGCUUCAGAUGAAGGAGGUGUUGACUGAAAAGGAAAUGUUGGAAAAGGGUAGACAACUGCUGAAGAGAGACAUGGAAAAUCUGCAACAAAAACUAGUUAAUGUAGACAGAGAUUCGGAGAGUCUGAAACUUGAGAGAGAAGCUUUGGAGAAUGAGAAGGAAAUUAUACAACAGAUCAAAACUGACCUGCAACGAGAAACACAAGAUAUUGAGAAGAUCAGACUAGAAACACAACACGAAAGACAAAAACUGGAGGAAAUGACAGCUCAACUCCAGAAAGAGAGAGAAGAAAUCGACAAUCUCAUUGAGGAGACAAAAAGAAAAGACAUGGUCUUUGAUGAAAUGAACACAGAAAUUGAAGUGAAAACUAAAGCCAUUCAAUCUGAUAGAGACAUGCUUGAGAAGGACAAACAUGAUCUUGAGAAAAUCAAAAGUAAACUUGCUAAAGCCAAGGAGGAUCUUGAAAAAGAAAGAGAAAAGCAAGGAAUCAUACUGGCAGAGAUACAGAAAGAGAGAGCCUCCCUAAAGGAGAUGAAUGAGACCAUCACAAGACAAAUACAUGAUAUUAAUAAAGAUCAAGAGGAAAAAAUGAGACAAAAACAACAUGAACUUGAACAACAGAAAACUGAAAUUCAUAAUCAGAAACAAGAACAAGACAAUGACAGAAACAUUAUAAUAAAAGACAGAAGUCAGCUUGAUCUGAGACAAUCCGAGUUAGACAAACAACAGACAGAAGUGAGUGACAUUAUGGAAAAAAUGAGGAAUGAAAGAAAACAACUAGAUAAAAAUAAACAAGAGAUGGAAGAACAGAAACAGCAAGUGAAGAAAGAAAGAGAUGAUGUUGACCAAAGCAGAAAAGAUCUGAAUGAAGACCUAGAGAUGAUGACACUUCAGAAACAAGUGAUUGAAGAUGAGAAGAACAAGUUAGAACAGAUGAAGAUUGAGCUGCAAAGAGAAGCUGAUGAUAUCCGAAAGCUCAAAGAAGAAACACAAAAUGAGAGACAGAGUUUGGAAAAGAUGGCUGAAGAACAUAAGAAAGAGAGAGAAGAUAUUGUUCAUCUUGAUGAAGAUACAAAGAAAAAUAAUAAAAUCCUGGAUGAAAGGAAAGUUGCAAAUGAGUCUUUAAUGGCAGAUCAACAAAGAGAGAAAAACAACCUUGAGCAAAUGAGACUGAACAUCUCCAAACAAACUGAUGAAAUUGAAAAUGAGAAAGAGAAAAUUAAACUCAGAGAAGAUAAACUAGAGAUACUACAAGCAGAGAUUCAUAAACAACAAAGUGAAGUGGAAAAGGAAAAGAACAACAUUGAAAGUGAAAGAGCUGCAAUGAUCAGGGAAAAACAGGACAUGAUGACUGAGCUGAGAAAAAAGUAUGAAGAUGUUGAGCUUCAGAUGAAGGAGGUGUUGACUGAAAAGGAAAUGUUGGAAAAUGGUAGACAACUGCUGAAGAGAGACAUGGAAAAUCUGCAACAAAAACUAGUUAAUGUAGACAGAGAUUCAGAGAGUCUGAAACUUGAGAGAGAAGCUUUGGAGAAUGAGAAGGAAAUUAUACAACAGAUCAAAACUGACCUGCAACGAGAAACACAAGAUAUUGAGAAGAUCAGACUAGAAACACAACACGAAAGACAAAAACUGGAGGAAAUGACAGCUCAACUCCAGAAAGAGAGGAAAGAAAUCAAUGAUCUCAUUGAGGAAAUUAAAAAGAAGGGAGAUAUUCUUGAUGAAACCUAUACUGAAAUACAAAGAGAACAAGAAGCAAUUGAGAGAGGCAACGACUUGAUUAGAAGGGAACGGUCUGACUUAGAGAAAACCAAAGCUGAGAUGUCUCAAACCAAGGAAGAGCUUGAAAAACAGCUUUCUGAACAAAAAACAAACAUUGAGAUCACACUGGCAGAGAUACAACAAGAUAGAAACAUGCUUGAACAGAUGAGUGAGAAAAUAACUAAAGAAAAAAUGGCACUUAAAGAUGAAAAGCAAGAGUUACGAAUAGAAAAGGAAGAACUUGAAAGAAUGCGGGCAGACAUCGAAAGAAAACAAGGAGAUAUUGAUCACCUGAGGUUUGGCAUAACAGAAGAAAGUCUGCUUGAGAAAUCAGAGGCUGAAAUGGUUCUUCAACAGAGUGACGUGGAUGUAGUGAAAUCUUUAACAGACAAAGAAAUGUCAGAUCCAGAUGGAAAAAGUGUCUUGAUGGAGCAGAUGCUGGAAAUGGACUUAAAAGAUGCAUUAGAAACAGAUGUUGAGAGCCAAAAGUCAGACUUACCUGAAGCUGAGGAUUUACCUCAUAAACAGGAGAUGAUGUUAGAGAAGAAGUUUAUUGAAGAUGAAAAGGACAAACUGGAACAGAUGAGAGCUGAACUGCAAAGUGAAGCCGAACACAUUGAAAUGGAAAAGCAGGAUAUGCAAAAUGAAAGACAGAAGCUAGAAGAAAUGUCAGCUCAACUUCAGGAAGAGAGAAGUAAUCUUGAAAGCCUUAACGAGGAGAUUAAUGUUAAAAAAUGUAAUCAACAAAAGCAAGCAACUGAGUUUGAAAUGGAGAAGACUGAUUUAGAGAAAAUCAAAACAGAAAUUGCUAAAGCCAACAAACUUCUUGCAGAACAGCAAGAAAAGAAUGAAAAGACAAUAAAAGAGAUGCGGACAGAGAGGGACGCUCUUGAAGAAAUGAGGGUGAAAAUAUCAAAACAAGUGGAGACUAUUCAAAAAGCGAAUGAAAGUCUUUCUCGCAGAGAAACUGAACUUGCAAAGCUGCAGGAAAACAUUUUACAACAACAACAUGAAAUGGACGAACUGAAAAACACAAUCAUGAUGGAAAUGAGUCAACUGGACCAGAGACAAACUGACAUUGAUCUAUUACAGCGAGAGGUUGACGAUCUAAUGGAAUUCACAAAGACAGAAAUGACAAACGUAGAAAGAGAAAGAGUGGAAAUGAUGGCACAGAAGAGAAAUAUAGAGAGAGAGAUAGUCAGUCUAGAGGAAGAAAAGGAUACAUGUGAACAACUGAGACUAAAAUUACUGGAGGAAAACGAUCAGGUUGAAAAAGACAGAGAGCUGUUGACCAAAAAUGUUGAUCUUAUGGAGAGGCAAAAAGUGGAUCUGGAGAAAGAAUUAAAUAAUCUAAAAGUUGAGAAACACACAUUUGAAAAUGAGAAGGAGGAACUAGAGAGGAUGAAAACCGACCUUCAAAAACAAGCUGAAGACUUGGAGAAACUAUCUGAGAAGACAAACAAUGAAAGACGGAGGGCAGAAGAGAUGGCAGCCAAAUUUAAAAAGCAAUUAGACGUCAGUGGCAUUCCAGCGGACUACCAACAGGCGGAAGAGCUCAUGGAUGAGACAGAGAAGCAAAGAAAGGAAAUUCAGUCUGCCAAAGACUUGCUUCAAGAAGAAAGAUCUGAGCUGGAGAAAACCAAGGCAGACAUAAACCAAGCCAAGGAAGAACUAGAUAGACAAAAAACUGACUUGCAGAGAGAUAAAGACAUUCUCAAGCAAAGGAGUACAAAUAACUUGAGACAAAUAGCUCAAAUUGAAGAUAAGAAGGAAAAAAUACAACACAAAGAGAAUGAACUAGAACAAAUGAGAACAGAACUUCAAAAUAAACAAAAAGAAAUGGAUGACAUGAAAAACAAAAUAAAAGAAAAGGCUGAUUUUGAGAAUCUGGAACAAAAGAGAGCUGAGUUGGCUAGAGACUUGGAAAACCUCCAAAAUGAGAAACAAGCUUAUAAAAAUGAGCAAGACGAGCUAGAAAAGAAGAGAGAUGAUAUUAAAAAGUUGAAGCUAGAAGUUCAGAAAGAAAGGCAGAGGGCUGCACAAGAGUUAGAAAAAGAGAGGCAACAAUUUGCUAAGGAUGACACCCUGGAUGAAAUACAAGCUGAGAUAGAAAGACAAAAACUAGCCAUUGCUGUAGACAAAGCGAUUGUUAUUAAGGAAAAUAUGGAUCUGGAAAAAACCAAGGAACAUUUCAAAAGACAAUCCGAGGAGAGUGACAUCACUCGUGCAAACCUGCAGAAAGAGAGAGAGAGUCUUGAUCAGAUGAGAGUGGAGAUCUUAAAGCAAAAACAUGACAUGGAGAGAGAAAGAGGUGAACUGUUAGAGCAGUGUCAGCUGAUGGAGACACUAAAGAAGGACACUGAAAAUGUGGAACAGCUGAGGAAAGAGCUUUUGAAUGAAAAUGAAUUGACUGAGAAAAGCAGAACGCAACUGAAACGAGACAUAGAUGAUAUGGAACAAAAUAAAUCAAAUCUGCAUAAAGAAUUAGAGGAGUUAAAAGUUCAAAAACAGGAUAUUCAAGAUGAAAGAGUUCAACUAGAGCGAAUGAAAGCCGAGUUAGCAAAAGAAAGAAAAGCAAAUGACAAAAUGUUGAGAGAGGCUAAACAAGAAAUGGAGAAAUAUGAGGAGAUCAAAACAAAUAUUCUAAUCCAAAAAGAAGAGUUUGAGACUAAAAGACAAUCAGAAGUAGAGGAACUUAUUGGUAUGAGAGCAGAAAUACUCAGUCAGAAAGAGGAAUUAGAGGACAAGAUGAAAAAGACUAAACGUGAGAUGAAAGAAUUGAAGCUUCUUCAGGAUGAAACUGAUAGCAAGAGGAAAGAUCUUGAUGAUAAGAUGAGACAGGCAGCGAGAAAGAGAGAUGAGCUGGAGAAAAUGAGAGCUGAUAUUGAAAGUGCAAAUGAGAAACUUGAAAUGGACAGAGUCAUGUUAAGUAUAGAGCGUGAUGACAUGGAUCAAAUGAAAGCUGAGAAACAACGAGCGGGAGAAGAACUACAAUCUCAUACGGAAGAAAGAGGUGGAGAUCUGGAAGAGAAAGAACAAAUAAACACCAAGAUACAGAGGCUUAUUCAAGAGGCUGAAAAGACUAGGGAAAUGGCCUGGAGAACAAAACAUGACCUGGAAAGAAGCAUGCAGAGAGAUGUUAAUGUUCAAGCGGAUUCAGAGGAAAGGCAAAAAAUUAGUGCUUACAUGCAGAGGCUGAUCCAGGAAAUUGAGCAUGUCAGAGAGGUUCUCAGAAGAAUGAAAGAUGAAGUCAAGGCUGCUAGAAAUGAAAGAUUUGAACUGGAGAACAUGAGACUGGAAGUCGAAGCCAUGAAACAGGGCAUGAAGGAAACCUAUGAGCAACAGAACAAGGAGAUACAAAAAAAGAAGCAGCAAAUUGAGAGUACCAAAGACUUGUUGAGCAAAGAGCGAAAUGAUCUUGAGCAAAAUAGAGCUGAUUUGGAGAGACAAAAACAAGAAAUGGCAUUGGACAAUCAAAAACUUAAUGACGAAAAUGAACUGCUGAAGAAAGAAAAUGUUGACAUGAAGAAACAAUAUGAAAUUCUCAAAAACCUUCUAGAAGAAACAACUAGAGAAAGCACAGUACAAACAGUUAAACCUUCCAGAAAAAAGAAAGUAAUGAGGAGAGAUUCAGAGGAAUUAAGGGAGAAAAUGGAAUCAUUGGACGACCAGCAAGAAGAGAGUAAGAGUCAGACAGAUGACAUUAACAGACAAAUAGACAAACUGACAGAGUUGAAGGCUGAGCUGGAUCAACAGCAGGUAGAACUUCAGAAAACUAAAGCAGACUUAAAACAUCAGAUGGAUGAGCUAGAAAACAUGAGGUUUGAGAUAUUACAGCAUGAAAAGGACACGAGAGAGUUGGAGCUGAUGGAUAUACAGAGCCAGAGAAAAGUCAUAGAAACAAGGAUUCAGAAAAUGACGCAUGAGAAGGGAGAACUGGAAGUCUUAAGGUCUGAAAUAGUCCUAGAAAAGAAAGAUCUGGACCAGAUGAUGAAACAAGUGAUACGAAAGAGGGAUGAGGUGGAGAAAAUGAAGACUGAGAUAGCAAAGGCGAGAGAGGAGAUCAACAGAGAGCGGCAGGAGCUGGAAAUACUCAGGAAUGAUGUUCAAAGUGCAAGAGAGGAUAUAGAGCUAUUGGUGGAGAAAACUGUGAAUCUAGAAGAUGACGAAAGUACCAAUGCUGACAUCCAAAGACUAAUUUUAGAGGUUGUGAAAAUCAGGGAAAUGGUGAGAAAUCUAAAAGUUGACAUGGAGAGCAGGAUGGAGGAAGGUAAGGUGGUGAGAGAUGAAAAGGAAAACUUCAAGUCUGAGAUCCAGAGGCUCAUUCAAGAUAUUGGACAAAUACGGGAAAAUCUUGGAAGCCUUAGAAAAGAGAUAGAAACCACCAGAAGAGACAAGAAUGAAUUGGAGAAGAUGAGAGCAGAGCUUGCAGAAAAGCAACACGAGGAAGAGAGCAUGAAAGAAAUGCUACAGAAAGAAAGAGAAGAACUGGAGCAGCGGAAGGAUGAGAUAAACAGAGAAAAUGAGGAUGUGGAGACCAAAAGAGAGCUGGUUAAGGUAGAAAUAACUAAAGAAAUAACGGAAGAGUUUAAGGACACAAGAAAGAACAAGGAAGAACUGCAAAAUGUUUUUGAGGAACUAUUGAGAAACAAGAGUGAUCUGGAACAGCUCAACAGAGAUAUACAAAGCCUAUGGCAAACCAUGGAAGAAAUGAAAACCCUGCAUGAAAAGAAAAGGGCUGAACUGGAAGGCAUUACUUCUGAAGUAAAGAGAGGAGAGCAGAUACUGGAGAAGCAGAAACAUGAGUUGGAAGAGAAAAGUUGGAUUGUUGAAGAAAUAGAGAAAAAGAAAGAUACACUUGAAAAGAUCAAUAUGGAAAUACUGAGGAAGCAAAAAGAUAUAGAAAAAGAAAUGAACAAUUUAAGGCAAGAGAAGCAAGAGCUGGAGCUCUCUAGAAGUGAACUACAGAGACAGAUAAUUAAUGUUGAAUCUUCAAAACAUGCUUUGAUUAUGGAGAAGGAUCGGUUAGAAGAUGAACAAGCUGAAAUCAAUCACCAGAGGCAUGAAGUGAGUGCUGCCAUGAAGGCUUAUGAUGUGGAGCUGAAAAAUCUAGAAAAGAUUAAGAAUGAACUAGAAAACGAGAGGGCUAAACUUGAGGAAAAGCUCCACAUUGCUGCAAAAAUGGAGGAGAAACUACAGGAAAUGAAGAGUGAACUAAACAAAGAAAAAGAGCAAGUGGAAGAAAUGAAGCAAAUGGUCAGCACAGAGAGACAUUUGAUUGAACAAAAGAAUGCUGAGCUUCAGAAAAAGUCAGAGAUCACCGACAAACUCAUUCAGGAAGCAAACAAUGAGAGAGACAGAUUAACAGACCUCAGUCUAAAACUUCACACACAACGAGAAGAUAUAGAGAAUAUCAUCACAGAAAUAGAGACCAAGAAGAAAGAUCUCAAUAUAAUCAGUGCAGAACUUCAAGAUGAUAAGAAACGACUGAAAAAUGGCAGGGAUGUUUAUGAAAGGGAAAUGACACAUCUGCAGCUUAAGAGGGAAGCGUUAGAGAGAGAAACAGGGGACCUGGAAAGAAAAGCCUUACAACAGAAAGAGCAAGAUGAGAUGGCGAAGCAAGAGAUUCAAAAUCACAAAGAGGCUCUAGAACAAAUUAAGGUGGACAUUCUGAAGGAAAGAGAUGAUGUUGACAAAGAGAAGAAUAAUGUAUAUUCAGAAAAACAGAAACUGGAUACACUUCGAGAAGAACUGCAAAGAAAGGAAAGUGAGCUUGAAAACAAAGUAAAAUCUUUCAUGGAAGAGCAGCAGCAGCUGAAACAGAUUCAAGAUGAAAUGUAUAAAAUCAAGAAGGAGAUUCAAAGUAAUCUGGAAAGAAAGGAGGCUGAAAUUCAAGAGGAGAAACAGCAAUUAAUGGAAAUGGGUGAAACAAUUACAAGAGAACGCAAUGAAUACAGAAAGCUGACUGAAGAAGUACAGAAAGAAAAAGAGUGGCUUGAAAUCAGCAAAACGUUGAUGGAUCAAGAGAAGGCUGAACUUGAAAACAUGAAAAAUUAUCUGGAGAAGCAAUUACAAAAUCUAAGACAUGAGAAACUGAAUGUACAAGAUGAGAAGAAUGCACUAGAACAGAUAAGAGCAGAAUCCAAAGAGAUUCAAAAUGUUAUCAAGAAGGAAAGAAAGGAUCUAGAGAAAUGCUGGCUGGAAAUUGAGGGUGAAAGGCAAAGAGUGGAGGAAGAAAUCAGACAAUUAGAGAGACAGAGGGAAGAAACUAACAAACUUCACAGUGAGUUGCAAAUAAGUAGAUAUGACAUUAAAAGUAAGAAAGAAAAGAUUGAUAAAGAAAUGGAAGAAUUAUUGCAAAUGAGGGUUGACCUGGAGAGAACAAAAGUAGAAAUUGAAAAGGAUAAUCAACGACUUCAAGAAGAUAAAUGUAAUCUUGAAAAGACAAAAGCGGAGAUAAAGAUACAGACAGAUAAAAUGAUAAUAAUAGACACCAACCUAAAAGAGAAAGAAAGAGAAAUUAAAAUCCAACUAGAUAAAGACAGAGAAGAAAUUAAAUGUUUGUCUGAAGAGACUGAAAUGAAAAUGAGGGACCUUGAUAAGACGAUAAAGGAGAUGGAGAGACAAAAGCAAGAAAUUGAUAAAACAAAAGUGAUGCUUGAAAAGGAAAAGACAGAAAUUGACAAAGAAAAGAAAGACUUGGAAAAACAAAUGAUGGACCAGAUUGAGCAGAUACAAAAGGACAGACUGGCACUUGAGGAGAUGAAGAAAGAACUUCUUCGUGAAAAACAAGAAACAGAGGAAGAGAGAAAUAACUUGAUGACUUUAAGAAACAAACUAGAAGCUUUAAGAGCAGAGAUACAGAACAAGCAAAAUGAAAAUGACAUUUGGAAGAAGGAACUUAUUUUGGAAAAAUCAAACAUUGAGGAACGGCAGGUCGAGGUACUCAACCAGCAGCGACAGAAUGAUCAAACCAGUGAGGAAAACAAAAAAGAGAGAGAAGAUCUGGAAAAACAGAGAUUUGAAACUGAACAGCAGAAACAGAUGUUGGAGCUUAACAUCAUAAAAAUGAAUGAAGAGAAGCAAAUACUUCAGAAAGCCAAAGAAGAAAUGGAAAACAUAAAAUACAUGACCAACAAAGAAAGAGACAAGGUUGAACAAAUGCAAGGUGAAAUACACCAUCAGAUUCAGUCCAUUGAACUACAAAAGCAAUGCAUGCAAGACAAGCAGAAUGCUCUUGAUGAAAAAGAGCUAAACAUACAGAGGAAGGAGGGAGUAAUAGAGAAGAGAAACAUAGAAUUACAUGGGAUCGCUGCUCAGCUUCACAUUGAACAGGAACAUUUAGAUAAUGUUCCUGAGGAAACCAAUAAGAUACAGCAUGCCCUUGAAGAGAUGCAGGUUGAUAUAGAACUGCAAAAACAAGAAAUUAAUAAGGACUAUGAGUUGCUUAAGAAGAUACGGCAUGAAAUAGACAAUGAAAAUACAGAAAUGAAGCAGAAAAAAGAUGAUCUGCAGAUCUGGACUAAACAACAGAAAGAUAAGGUUCAAGUCCAUUUAGAAGAGCUAGAGAAAGAAAGAGAAAAACUGGAAAAAAUUAAGAUAAAGCUUCUUACUGAGAGAGAGCAAACUGAAAAAGAGAAAGCUGAUAUAAAUAGGGUAAACGAUGAAAUAGAAUCAAUGAGACAAAGAGUGAUAAUUCAGAAGACUGAGCUGGAGCAGAGAGAGAAAUAUAUUACGGAGCAGCAGCAAAGACUGGAUCAAAUUGUAAGAGAGAUAACGGAAGAAAGAAGGGAAAUGGAUAAGUUGAGGAUUGAACUAGAAGCUCAGAGACAAAGAAUGCAAGAGGACAUGAAGACUUUUGCAAAGCAGGAAAGAGAACUCUCACAACUGAGAGAUGAAAUACAAACAGAAAAACAAGACAUUGGUGAAAACAGGAACACAACUAACAAGUUAAUGAAAGAUCUGGAAAUCACGAAAGCCAAGCUUGUGGAACAACAAGAAGUGAUCCGAACUGAAGCAGAAAAACUCCAAGAGGAAAGAAAACUGGUUGACCAGACAAAAUCUGAGGUGCAGAAUGAUGCUGAAAAUUUGAAAAGCAUCUUAGAAGAGAUCAAAAGGGAGCAAGAAAAUAUGGAGAUAAGGGAGUCCCACCUUAAACAAAUGAUGGAUCAAUGUGCCAAUACCAUGGAAGAAAAUAUGAGGAAUAAGAGUGAACUAGAAAAGACUAUUGAUGACAUAGAAGAGCAAAAUCAACUGAUUAAGACUGAGAAAGACCGUCUGAAAAAAGAGAGAAAUAACACUGAAAAGGAAAAAGAAGAUUUGCAAAGACAAGCUGAUGACCUGGAGACGCACAUGACAGAACAAAAAGAAAAAGAAGAGAUGAGUAAAAGAUCAAUGGAUGAAGAGAAGAAGCUUCUUGAGCACAAGGCUGGUGAAAUCCUGAGACAGAGAAAUGAAUUAGAGAAAGAAAAAGACGACACGACGAAGAAGUGGAAUGAGCUGGAUGUUCUUCAGAAGACAUUACAAAAACAAAGAGAUGAAAUUGAAGAAAUCAAAAAUGACUUAAAGACUGAAAUUAAUCAACAGCAGCAAAGACUGGAGAAGAGUAUAAGAGCUGUGAAUGAGGAGAGGAGAGAUCUGGAGAACAUGAGGAAUGAUUUUGAAAAAUACAGACAACAAAUGGAAGAAGAGAUGAGAGUAAAAACAAAGAUGGAGAGAGAGGAACUUGAUCAACUGAUGGCCAAGAUAUUGACAGAACAAAAAGAAACUGAUAGGAGCAAGGAUAUGAUAGACCAUCUAAAGAAGGAAAUGGAGCAAACAAAAGCCAAACUCAAUGCUCAAGAGGAGCAAAUCAAACUGGAAUUGCAAAUAGUGCAAUAUGAGAGGCAAGAUCUGGAACAGUCCAAGGCUGAAAUCAAGAGACAGACUGAUGAAACCGAGAUCAUGAAAGAGCAGACACACCAGUUAGAAAAAGAGAAAGAUUUGUCUGAAACAUUAAAAGAAGAACGUCAAUCUGGACAGCUUCUUCAACAGAAGAGAGAAGAAAUGGCCUCUCAAGGAAAACAAAUACAGAUAGAUGAAGUCAAUAGACUCUUGUCUGAGAUUCAAAGGGAAAGGGAAGCACUUGAAAGAAACAAAAAAAUCCUUGAACAUCAGAGAGAGGCACUGGACGAGAUGAAGAGAAAACAACCAACACAGAGGCUGCAAUUAAUUUUGGUUAGUUCUGCUACACAAACAUCUAAACUAGAAGACAUACCUGUGGGUGACAUUUCAGCCACUCGGGAACAGAUUGUUGAGGAACACACAGGCAUUCAUAAGGAAUAUACAACUUUCAUAACAAAAGGGACGGAAGAUGAAUUAGAGAGAAUGAGAGAUCAGGAGGACACAGAGCUCAAAAUGAGAAGUGAAGAAACUGAAAUGGACUCAAGCCAAGAAGACAAUGCACUGACAACAGAAUAUAAAGAUAUACCUGAUCCAUCCAUGGCAGUAAAGUUGGAGUUCAAUAAAGAUGAAGCCGAUGGCCUUACUGAAACGUUGAUGACUGAGAAGAGGGAACUAGAAAAGACAAGAUUUGUUUUACAGAGAGACCAGAAAGAGACUGAGACAAUGAGACAACACACUGACAGAGAGAAGAAGAAUCUGGAGAAAUAUAAAGCCGCUCUUGAAAAACAAUAUGAAGAGAUGGAGUUAUGCAGACAGAAUAUGGAAAAUGAAAGAUCUGAGUUAGACAUGACUCAAGAUAAAAUUAAGAUGGACAUGGAAAAAAUUCUAAUGGAGAUCAAGAGCAAGCAGGAGAAAAUAGAAAACAUGGAAGUUCAACUUCAAGAAAAGAAGAGAGAAAUGGAAACCAUCUCUGUUGAGAUGAACCAGAGACAAGAGGAGUUGGACUUCAUAAAUACAGAGAUAAAAAGAAAGAGACAAGAGAUGGUGGACACCAAAGAAAUGGAGGAACAUGAGUUAACUGACAUACUUCCAAAGAGAGAUGAGUCUAUAAAAAGACACCUGGAGGAAAUACAGAACCAAAAGGAGGCAUUACGGAAGGAGAGGGGUGAAGUUGAAAAAAUACUCACUGGGCUGCAGAAGGAGCAAAUGGAAAUGGAGAUGCGUCAGGCAAUGCUGAACUCAGAAAGAAAUGAACUGAAUAGAAUGAGAGUCGAUCUGGAGACACAAAAAGAGGAGUUUAGGCUUAUGCAACAAAACAUAGAGACAGAAAGAGACAAGCUGGAAUCAAGGUUAAGGAGAGCAGAGGACACAGAGAGACUUUUGGAUGAUGUACUGAAAGAAAAGGAAAGGGUAGAAGAAAUGGCAGCUCAACUUGUCAAAGAACAGGAAGAGUUUAAAAUGAUUAUGACUGAGGCAAAUAAAUGGAUAAACAAAAUUAAACAGAUUGAGGUGGAAAUUAAAACAAAGCAAGAAGAAAUGGACCACAUUGAAGAACUGAGACAAAAAGAGCUUCAUCAAAGGAGUGCAGAAUCUGAAAAAAUUAAGACUGAAAUUGACAAUGAAAAAGAAGAAAUUCAGAAGAUACGAAAGGAAUGUGAGAGAGAAAAACAUGAACUGGAGCAAAUAAAAACAGAUUUGCAGAAAGAAGAACCACAGAAAACCAAUGCAGAAGUGCAAUAUGAUGAAGCACACAGUGUUAUGCACACGUUGAAAGAAGAGAAAGAAGAAAUAGAAAGGAUGAAAGCUGACCUCCAGAAUGAGCAGAGAGAAAUUGAAAACCUGAUGGACAUUAUAAAAAGAGAGAAGGGCGAGCUGGAAAAGAAGAAAGUUGAAAUGCAGCAAAUUGCUGCAGAUAUAAGGGACACAGACAGUGAUAAGAACUUACAAGAUGAAAUUAUGCAGAUUGAAGCAAUCCUCAAUGAAACCAAGAGAAAGAAGAAUGACCUGGAACAGAUGAAUGACAAUUUAAACAGGGAAAAAUCAGAACUGAAAAGCACUUGUCAGCUUCUAGUAAAAGAAAAGAGAAAAGCAGAAACUAGAUUACAGGAUAUGGUGAGUGAACUGAAUAUUAAGCUUAAGGAAUUAGAAAAUCUACAGAAGUUCAAAACAGAGGAGAGAGAGGCAGAAAAGAAAAAUCUGGAGAAAUUUAAGGAUGAGAUGGCUAAAGAACAUGAACAAAUUAAAAAGGAAAAUGAAGAUUUAAGAAUGAGAAGAGAUGAGCUGCUGCACAUGAAAGACGAAAUUCAAAAGCAGACAAAAGACCUAGAAGAAAUAAUGAACAAAGUGACAAUGAAGAAGAGUGAGCUAGAACAAGAGAGGCGUGAAAUAAACAAACAAAAACAACAACUGGAAGACAUUGGGAAAGCUGCAGAAAUAAAGUGGGUUGAGACACAGGUAGCCACUGAAAGGUCCAGACAAGAAGACGAGGACAUGCAAAUCUUAAAAACUGAGAGAGAAAGAAUAGCACAUCUGAAUGAUCAAUUACUGAAAGAGAAAGAGGAUGUUGAAACCACCAAAGAGAGAAUUAAUAGAGAGAUGGAACAUAUUGAAAAGAUGCAAAGCCAAUUAAAUGACCAAAGAGAAGAGAUCAAGCUUGAAAAACAAAUAUUAGGAGACAUAAGGACUGAGAUUCAAGACAAGACAAAUGCUCUAGAGAAAAGUAUGCAGGACUUACAAAAAGAGAGGGAAAAUCUAAAUGCUUUAGUUAUUCAACAACAAAAAGAAAGAGAAAAUAUGGAUAAACUAGCAGAAGAAAACAAAAGAAAAGAGAAGCAUGCUGAAGUUGAGAUACAAAGACAGUUAGAGGACAUAGAAAAUCACAAGGUGAGGUUGGCAAAAGAAAGGAAUCAACUUGAACAGAUGAAUGCAGAAAUACAGACUAAACAUAAAGAGCUAGAGAAAAUAAUCAGACAACAGCAAGAGGAGAUUGACAUCAUGCAAAGAGAAAGAAAGGCUUUGGAGAAAAUUAAUGCUGAGCUAGCAAGGAAAACCACUGAAAUGGAAAAUAAGAGAGAGAAAGUAACUCUCUGGGAAGCAGAUAUACAGAAACAGAAAACCAAAGUAGAAGAGCUAAGGAACAUCUUACAAAGAGAGAAAAGUGAACUUGACAAAGAGAAAGCAGAAGUAAAACAAGAAAAACAAGAGAUGGAAAACAUUCUGAAAACCAUCAAGAGUGAGUUGGAAGACCUAGAGCAACUUAGAAAUAAAUCUGAGGAAGAGAAGAAAGACAUGCUGGACAGACUGUUAACAGAAAAACAUGAAACGGAUCAAUUAAAAACCGAGUUACAGUUGGAGAAGAAGAUAAUUGAAGAGGAAAAGAAAAUGCUGAAGCAGUUGAUGAACGAAACUGAAAAUAAAAGAUCUCAACUGGACAGCAACAUUGUGCAAAUGAACAUGGACAAACUAAAUAUUAAAAAAGAAAAAGACUCACUGGAGGAGAUCAAGGCAGAUUUACAAAGAAAGUCUGAAAAGCUUAAUGAGGAAAUCAGGAAAACAGACAAAAUCACCUCUCAAAUCAGUAAAGACCAAGAGAACAUUCAGAGACUGGAAGACAUGAGAAGAAAAGAAGAAGAGCUCAGUACUAUGCGUGCUGACAUUGAAAGGCAGACAAAUCUUCUGCAAUCAGAUCUACUGCUACUUCAGACACAAAAAGAGAACUUAGAAAAGAGCAAAGCAGAGAAUGAGACUCUAAGAGAAGAUUUUGAAGAGCAAAAAGAAAAGAAUGACUUGACAAUGCAAGAACUGCUCAAAGAGAGGCUGGCCUUGGAGCAGAAGAUUAUUGAUAUAACACAGCUAAGAGACACAGUGGAAAGCACACAUAAUGAAAAAAGACUUAAAGAAGAGGAUCUGGAAAACAAAGAAAGAGAACUUGACAUGCAAAGAAAAGAUGUAGAUAACCUAAGAAACAUUUUGAUGGCUGAGAAAAUGCAGCUGGAAAAGAAGCACAAUGUUAUGAAUCAACAGCAGCAGGAGGUUAAUGACUUGAUGAAUGAAAACAGAAAAAUGAGAAAUGAUUUGGAGAGCAUGAAAACUCAUCUGGAACAAGAGAGACGACAACUACAACAAAACAUCAAAACAUUUGAAGAUCAGAAGAAUGUUUCUGAUCAAAUCAAAGUGGAUGCAGAGCAACAGACCGAUGAGCUUGAGAAAAUCACAGCAGAUACAAAGAGGGGAAAGGAACCUCUUGGAAAGGAAAGAGAGGAUACUGAUGCUUUGAAGAAAGAAAUCCAGAGUAAGAAAGAUGAACUGCAAAGCUUAAAUUCUGAGAUUGAAAAUUCCAACCAAGAAAUGGCAGAAAACAGAGAUCAGUUUGAAAAAGAGAUGGAAAAUUUAAAGCAGAAAAGAGCAGAUUUACUGACAGAAACUGAUCAGCGAGCCGAGACCAAAAUAAAGAAGAAAGAUGUAAAAACAGCAGUGGAGAGUGAAAAACAGAUCCAAGCUGCUUUACAAAUGGUCAGGGAGGACACUGAAAAAGAAAAGACAGAUGCUGAAUUGCUGGCUGAUCUCCAGAAACAGAUGGAUGAACUAGAAGAACUGAGGAACACAAUUGAGGUGGGAAAAAAUCUGAUCGAAAAGAAAAAGCUCACAUUAGAUCAUCAGCAGCAGGAAUUAGAAGACAUCAUGACAGUCAUCAAACGAGAGAGAGAUGUGCUUGAGAAAGAGAAGUCUGAAAUUGAUGAACACAGACAUAUCCUCAAUAAAAAUAUGCAGACAAAACAAGAAGAGCUUGAAAAGCUUAAUAAUGAUAUUCAAAGGGACAAAAAGGAGAUUGAAAACAGCAAAAAGAUAACUGAGAGUGAAAAAUAUCGUAUCGAAAAGGAGAGAGCUGAUUUAAACAGACUGAAGAAAGAGGCUGAAGUCAGCAAACAAAGCGUACAACAUGAGAGAACUUUGCUGCAACAAGAUAAAGACAUGAUACAGAAAGAAAAAGAGGACAUGGAAGGCGUUAUAGAUGAAAAGACAAGAACAAUGGAGGAACUGCAAGAGCAAAUAAACAGACAAUUAUCUGAAUUAGAGAUGGUAAACAUGGAGAUUCAAAUAAAGAGACAGGAAGCAGAAAUGCAUCGCUUACCAGAAGAGAUUAAAACAAAAGAUCAUUCAAAGAGGGAUGCUGAUGUUCUAAGAGAGGAAGUAGAAGUACAGAAACAAAAAACAGAUGAACUUGAGAUAUAUCAAAUGAAGACCACCUCAGUCGAUGCUGAAACACAAACAUCUUUGGAUGACUUUAAGAAAACAGAUGAUAGCAGACAGAAGGAAUUAGAAGACGAAACAACGGCAACAAAGAAAAAACAACCCACUGUGACAAAGUCAAAAGACAAGCACGCAUCUGAAGUGCGAGAAAUAACGGACUCUUUAAACAAAGAAAUUGAAGAUUUGGAGAGAAUGAAGACAAUGAUGAAAAAAGAGAGACAUGAACUGGAACAAGCAAAAGCUGACAUCCAAAGGCAGAGGGAAGACUUUGAGAGAAAUAUGAAGGAAGUCAUGAAGCAGAAGUCAAGAAAUGAAGAAAAACUGCUACGACUUACACAAGACAAGGAGGAUUUAUCAAACAACCUUGAUAAGAAAAAUAAGGAAAUAGAGAGCAUCACAGAAACAUUCAUGAGAAAGUUGGGACAACUGGAAAAGACCAUAGCGUCACUGAAAGAAGAGAAGGAAAACAUUGAAAAUGAGUUGCUUCAACAAAAGCAAAAUGAGCAGGAGACACAAAAAAUCAAGGGAAAAACAGAUGAUAUUUCCAUUAGAAGUGACAGGGAUGCUGAGAAAGUCACAUACAAAAAAGCACUGGAACAAGUACAAGAGAUUUAUUGGGCCAAAACAGAUGGAGAAACAGAAGCAAAAACCUCCAAAACUGACGCCCAAAGAGAAGCUCUUCAGCUAAUGGAUGGCGCGACCCUAGAACGAGAUGAGCUAAACAUCCUGAGAGCUGAACUACAGAGGCAACAUGACGAAAUGGAGAACAAAAUGAAGAUCAUACAAACUGGCCUUCUUGAGAUGGAGAAGGCAAAGGAUCACCUGCAUAAAUUGAGGGAUGAAUGUAAAACCGCUGAAGAAGAAAAGUCAGUGAUCAUGGAGAGUCUCGAGAGGAGGAGGAACAGCCUGGAAAAGGUUCAAGCUGAGCUACUGAGACAUACUGAGGAGAUUGAGCAUCUCACACGAAGCUAUGAAUGCAAAAGAAGAGAACUGCAACACAUUGAGACUGACAUACAAAGACAGGCAAGGACUGUGAAGACUCAACAGGAAACUAAUAUUCAGAGUGAACAAGAAGACCAAGAAGUAAUAGCGAUUACAAAAUCCAUUCAAAAACAUACAGAGGAUGUUAAGCAGAAGAGAACUCAAGAGACACAAACUGAAGACCAGGAAAGAGAUGCUCUACCACAGUAUGAAGAGAUACAUGCAAUGAAAAGGAGAAUACAGGACAUGAAAGAUGAACUUAAGAACAGAUUACAAGACAUAAAGAGGAAGGAACUGGAAAGACUCGGAAUCCAAAGACAAAAAAUCGAGUUGGAGCUACGGAAAGCUGAAAUGGAAAGAUAUAAUGAAGCCCUUCAGCAUGAGAGAGAAACUGACAGACUCAAGCUCAUAGAAAAGGAAAAGGAAAUACUUCUGUUAAGGGAGUGUAUGCUGAUUGAGAUCAAUCGACUGAAGAGCGAAGAAACAGAAACAAGUAGUCAGCACUUGGAGAUUAUGGAGCGCCUCAUUAGUGAUGCAGCAGUAAGAGUGGACCGAUUCAGACGGGUUACGGACAGAGCCGUGCAAACGCUGAUGCUGGAAGGAGAUGGAGAGCAGUUUGGAGGAGCUCAAAGAGUGAUGACUGAACAGAUGGAAAGUGUCAGUGGAAGGAUGGAGAUUUCUAUGCAUGUCCUGAGUGAAGACAGGGAGGAAGGAGCGAGAGGAGAAUCCCAGAGAGGGGGCGUAGUCGGGCCAACUUCACGGAGAUUGCGACUAUUGCACUGGAUCAGACGGUGCUGCUGUCGCUGCUGUCCCAGAAACACUGUGGAGGACACCGAGGACAUUUUAUAAACACAGGUCUUGUUCAUUUAGAAGUACAUUUUCAUAUGGAAUUUGACAAAAACUGAGAAGCAUGUCCUAAACAAAUACAAUCCAUGCAUUAUCAGUAUUUUUAUGUAUAUAUUUAUACGUAGCAUUCUUUGGGAGAAAAACCCCCACAACAUUUUAGUAGUGUCUACAAAAACAAACAAAAAAAAAUACUGGAUAACAUAACUAUUUAGUAAUAUAAUUACAGAUUAUUUGCAUAGUACCAAAUGUUUAUCACAGUUUAUAUAAUCCAAUAAAUCAGUUUUGCUUUUUCAAAACUCAACACAGAUGCUUGCAUAAGCCAGAAUGAAUCUUUCAUUAUUACAUGCAGUACAUCUAUGCAAUUAACUCCUUAAAUAACUCAUUAGCAUAAUGUGUGUGGUACAUGUGUGUAUGCAUCUUCUGUUUUCACUAAUGUGUCAGUAAAACACUCUGGGUCAAAUGAUCCUGAAAUUAUCGGUUUUGAUUUCUCAUGACAACUUGAUAUAAUUAUUUUGUGUUUGGGUUCUUACACUUAAUCCUAAAUCUUUCCAGAAGGAACUGAAGUGUUGUGCACUGUUAAUUGGCAACGUUGGAAAUUUCUGCACAGUUAUCUGUGAAAAGCAAAGCUCACCUGUAAUGUUCAAGGGUGUCUACAAAAAC